rnacentral:rRNA from 1 species
UACGUAGGGGGCUAGCGUUGUCCGGAUUUAUUGGGCGUAAAGAGCGUGUAGGCGGCCAGGUAGGUCUGCUGUGAAAACUGGAGGCUCAACCUCCAGACGUCGACGGAAACCGUGUGGCUAGAGUCCGGAAGAGGAGAGUGGAAUUCCUGGUGUAGCGGUGAAAUGCGCAGAUAUCAGGAGGAACACCGAUGGCGAAGGCAGGUCUCUGGGCCGAUACUGACGCUGAGGAGCGAAAGCGUGGGGAGCGAACAGG